rnacentral:rRNA from 1 species
UGCCAGCCGCCGCGGUAAUACGGAGGGUGCAAGCGUUACUCGGAAUCACUGGGCGUAAAGAGCGUGUAGGCGGGUUGAUAAGUUUGAAGUGAAAUCCUAUGGCUUAACCAUAGAACUGCUUUGAAAACUGUUAACCUAGAAUAUGGGAGAGGUAGAUGGAAUUUCUGGUGUAGGGGUAAAAUCCGUAGAGAUCAGAAGGAAUACCGAUUGCGAAGGCGAUCUACUGGAACAUUAUUGACGCUGAGACGCGAAAGCGUGGGGAGCAAACAGGAUUAGAUA